GAGCUGUCAAGAAGCUUUGAUGCCUAGAUUUCCGAAUGGGGCAACCCAAUGUAUAGAGAUAUACAUUACCAUAAUGGAGCGAACGAGGGGAAUUGAAACAUCUUAGUACCCUCAGGAAAAGAAAUCAAAAGAGAUUGCGUCAGUAGCGGCGAGCGAAAGCGCAAGAGGGCAAACCCAGUGCUUGCACUGGGGGUUGUAGGACUGCAAUGUGCAAUAGGAAAGGUUAGCAGAACACUCUGGAAAGUGUAGCCAUAGAGGGUGAUAGUCCCGUAUGCGAAAACCUAACCUUAGCUAGCAGUAUCCUGAGUAGGGCGGAACACGAGAAAUUCUGUCUGAAGCUGGGUAGACCACUAUCCAACCCUAAAUACUACUACCAGAUCGAUAGCGAACAAGUACCGUGAGGGAAAGGUGAAAAGAACGGCGGUGAGCCGAGUGAAAUAGAACCUGAAACCAUUUGCUUACAAUCAUUCAGAGCACUAUGUAGCAAUACAGUGUGAUGGACUGCCUUUUGCAUAAUGAGCCUGCGAGUUGUGGUGUCUGGCGAGGUUAAGCACACGCGAAGCCGUAGCGAAAGCAAGUCUUAAUAGGGCGCUUAGUCAGAUGCUGCAGACCCGAAACGAAGUGAUCUAUCCAUGAGCAGGUUGAAGCUAGUGUAAGAACUAGUGGAGGACCGAACCCGCUAGCGUUGAAAAGCUAUGGGAUGACUUGUGGAUAGGGGUGAAAGGCCAAUCAAACUUCGUGAUAGCUGGUUCUCUCCGAAAUAUAUUUAGGUAUAGCGUUGUGUCGUAAUAUAAGGGGGUAGAGCACUGAAUGGGCUAGGGCAUACACCAAUGUACCAAACCCUAUCAAACUCCGAAUACCUUAUGUGUAAUCACAGCAGUCAGGCGGCGAGUGAUAAAAUCCGUCGUCAAGAGGGAAACAACCCAGACUACCCGCUAAGGUCCCCAAAUCUUACUUAAGUGGAAAACGAUGUGAAGUUACUUAAACAACCAGGAGGUUGGCUUAGAAGCAGCCAUCCUUUAAAGAAAGCGUAAUAGCUCACUGGUCUAGUGAUUUUGCGCGGAAAAUAUAACGGGGCUAAAGUAAGUACCGAAGCGGUAGGCUUGUGCUUA
rnacentral:ncRNA from 1 species